rnacentral:rRNA from 1 species
UUGAACGCUGGCGGAAUGCUUUACACAUGCAAGUCGGGCGGCAGCGCGGGGGCAACCCUGGCGGCGAGCGGCGAACGGGUGAGUAACAUAUCGGAACGUACCCAGACGUGGGGGACAACUAGUCGAAAGACUAGCUAAUACCGCAUACGUCCUGAGGGAGAAAGCGGGGGAUCGCAAGACCUCGCGCGUUUGGAGCGGCCGAUAUCUGAUUAGCUAGAUGGUGGGGUAAAGGCCCACCAUGGCGACGAUCAGUAGCUGGUCUGAGAGGAUGAUCAGCCACACUGGAACUGAGACACGGUCCAGACUCCUACGGGAGGCAGCAGUGGGGAAUUUUGGACAAUGGGGGCAACCCUGAUCCAGCCAUGCCGCGUGAGUGAAGAAGGCCUUCGGGUUGUAAAGCUCUUUCGGCCGGAACGAAAUCGCGCGCGUGAAUAACGUGUGUGGAUGACGGUACUGGAAGAAGAAGCACCGGCUAACUACGU